rnacentral:pre_miRNA from 1 species
UAAUAUCAGCUGGUAAUCCUGAGUUGUGGUGGAGUCUCAGGAGACUAGUUGGUAUUUCA